rnacentral:rRNA from 1 species
UACGAAGGGGGCUAGCGUUGUUCGGAUUUACUGGGCGUAAAGCGCACGUAGGCGGAUCGAUCAGUCAGGGGUGAAAUCCCAGAGCUCAACUCUGGAACUGCCUUUGAUACUGUCGAUCUGGAGUAUGGAAGAGGUGAGUGGAAUUCCGAGUGUAGAGGUGAAAUUCGUAGAUAUUCGGAGGAACACCAGUGGCGAAGGCGGCCAUCUGGGACAACACUGACGCUGAAGCACGAAAGCGUGGGGAGCAAACAGG